GUCAGUACCUCUGGUUUUGAUCACUGUAAGGAUGUUUGAUGAUGGGAUUUACCAGAAUUAUGGUGGAGGGGUCAUACAAAGCAAUGAGGAACACACAAGGAAGAAAAAUGACAGACAGAUCUUCAGCGGUCCGGAGUUGAGCUCACAGGCUGUUGCACCUUGAUGGGAUUCUACCAAGAUCACGCUGAUUGCAACAUGCAUUGUACUCCUGUGUGGAGUCGUUGUCCUGGGUGUGCUCUAUGGCAUCAAAGGGAAGAACCAACAACAACAAGUCACUUCCAUCAAAGCAAUGGCAAAAACAGGAACCAAACGGAAAUUCCUGUAUUCUCAAGAACUCCUGAACUGGACAGAAAGUCGUAGGAAGUGUGUCUCUGCAGGAGGAGAUUUGGUGACUAUUUACACAGAAGAGGAACAGUUGUUGCUGCUGUUCUCAAUCAACAGCACCCAUGAGGUUCCCUAUUGGAUUGGACUGACUGACAUGGAAAAAGAAGGCCAAUGGUUAUGGUCAGAUGGUAAACCUUUGCAGGACAAUCUGACAUUCUGGGAUAAGGAUCAACCUGACGAUGGACCAGAUAAGAAGUACGCAGCUGGCCAGGAUUGUGUUUGGAUUCGAAAUGUAUAUCGUAUCAAUAACUGGAUGGAUGGAUAUUGCAGUCAUCUUCAUGGAAGAAUAUGUGAAGUAUAAUAAUGACACCAAUUGUAAUCCAGUGUAAUGUUACCUUUUUUAAAUACUGUACAUGUUUCUUAUUAUUUGAAGUCUUUGAUUACUUUCGUUUUCAAUCAGAAUAUGGCCAAUAUGCAUGUUGUAAACUUGCUUGUCAGCAAACACUUGUUUCAGUAUGUGUUGCCAUUGCUUUUGCUGAACUAAUGUUGGUGUCAGCCAGUUGUACUCUGAAAACAUUUUGCAUUCUUUUACCAUUCAACUUUUUAAUCUUAAUAUUGAUGAAGUAUAUUUUUAGGAUUCCCUCUUUUGGUGAUUGUAAGUUAUGUCAAGUAAAACUUGCUUGCAAUUGUUACUGUAUCGGCAAAAUAAAAUGAAAGGUGCCACCAUAUC